rnacentral:lncRNA from 1 species
UGAUGGUUAAGGAACCAAUGAGAUUUUCAGAGUGACGGUCACCUACCUUUUGUUUUUUGCUUGUAGUCGCACAAAUUUGUUCUUGCAGAGGAUUUUUAUUCUUCUUUUUAUUUCCUUGUUUUUUCUUUCCCUAAUUUUUUCCUGGAAUGAUUUUUCGAGUUUGCAGUCCACCAGGAUGCCCUAAUUUUUGCCUAAGUCACUCGUUUUCGAGUUUUCG